CAGGCCCUUUAAGUGGAAAGAAUAUUCUGUCUUGUAGUGUUUAGCUGGGAAUAUUUUAUUCAUUUUUAUCAAGGCCCUUAGAUAAUGACUCAAAUGAAUGGACUGCUGAACUCUGGAGUGGAGACUAGACCACGAAGGUAGAACUUGCAAAGGAAGUGGCUGAAGACUGCUUUUGUGACUUUUGUCUGCUCAUCCACCGCAGGACAGACACAAAGGACAGGCCCAGGGAUUGGAGGAUUCCUAAGUGAAGCGGUCUCUAUGCUGAGCUCUCCCUCUCCUCAAUAUUUUACGGCGCUGCUUGGUGGAUGUGAAUGGACUCUGCACUGUACGUGGGCGUGGACUCCGAGCAGAAGCAGGGGGGUGUUCUCGGGACCCUUGUGGCUGGCCAGUUGUCCUGUCAAAGCAGCUUCUUGCUCCCCAGGGGCCAGAUGCUUGGGAUUCCAAUCAGUGGAUUUAAAUGAAGAAGCUGAGGCUGGGUGCGGUGGCUCACGUCUGUGAUCCCAGCACUUUGGGAGGCUGAGGCGGCAA